rnacentral:rRNA from 1 species
UACGAAGGGGGCUAGCGUUGCUCGGAAUCACUGGGCGUAAAGGGCGCGUAGGCGGCGUUUUAAGUCGGGGGUGAAAGCCUGUGGCUCAACCACAGAAUGGCCUUCGAUACUGGGACGCUUGAGUAUGGUAGAGGUUGGUGGAACUGCGAGUGUAGAGGUGAAAAUUCGUAGAUAUUCGCAAGAACACCAGUGGCGAAGGCGGCUCACUGGCCCGAUACUGACGCUGAGGUGCGAAAGCGUGGGGAGCAACGGG